rnacentral:rRNA from 1 species
GGUCAAGUUAUUAAGGGUGCAGGGCGGAUGCCUUGGCACUAGGAGCCGAUGAAGGACGUGAUAAGCUGCGAUAAGCUUCGGGGAGUUGCACGUAAACUUUGAUCCGAAGAUUUCCGAAUGAGGAAACUCACUUAGAGUAAUGUCUAAGUAUCAUUAAGUGAAUACAUAGCUUAAUGAGGGGAACUCAGGGAACUGAAACAUCUAAGUACCUGAAGGAAGAGAAAGAAAUUCGAUUCCGUAAGUAGCGGCGAGCGAACGCGGAUUAGCCCAAACCAAUAAAGUUUUCUUUAUUGGGGUUGCGGACAUAUCAUAACGAAGAGGUAUCGUAAUUGAAGAGGUUUGGAAAGACCCACCACAGAAGGUAAUAGUCCUGUAUGUUAAACGAGAAGACUUUAGAUAUGAUCCAGAGUACCACGGGACACGUGAAACCCUGUGGGAAGCAGGAGGGACCACCCUCCAAGGCUAAAUACUACCUAGUGACCGAUAGCGUAUAGUACCGUGAGGGAAAGGUGAAAAGAACCCCGGGAGGGGAGUGAAAUAGAACCUGAAACCCUGCACUUACAAGCUGUGGAAGCACAUUUCUUGUGUGACCGCGUACUUUUUGUAGAACGGGCCAACGAGUUACGUUAAGUAGCAAGGUUAAGCACUUAAGGUGCGGAGCCGUAGCGAAAGCGAGUUUUAACUGAGCGUUCAGUUACUUGACGUAGACCCGAAACCGGGCGACCUACCCAUGAGCAGGAUGAAGCGAAAGUAAAAUUUCGUGGAGGUCCGAACCCACGAGCGUUGAAAAGCUCGGGGAUGACUUGUGGGUAGCGGUGAAAUUCCAAUCGAGCCCGGAGAUAGCUGGUUCUCCCCGAAAUAGCUUUAGGGCUAGCCUCAAGGUGAGAGAUACGGAGGUAGAGCACUGAAUGUCCUAGGGGGUAUUGCACCUACCGAAGACUAUCAAACUCCGAAUGCCGUCAUCUUAUACUUGGGAGUCAGACUGUGGGUGAUAAGAUUCAUAGUCGAAAGGGCAACAGCCCAGAUCGUCAGCUAAGGUCCCUAAAUGUAAGUUAAGUGGUAAAGGAUGUGGGAUUGCACAGACAACCAGGAUGUUGGCUUAGAAGCAGCCACUCAUUCAAAGAGUGCGUAAUAGCUCACUGGUCGAGUGAUCCUGCGCCGAAGAUUUCCGGGGCUAAAACUUACUACCGAAGCUACGGCAUCAGUAAUGAUGGGUAGGGGAGCUUCCCAUACGGGUUGAAGCAUGACCGUAAGGACAUGUGGACAGUAUGGGAGUGAGAAUGUUGGCAUGAGUAGCGAGAUGUGGGUGAGAAUCCCACAGGCCGUAAACCCAAGGUUUCCAGGGGAAGGUUCGUCCGCCCUGGGUUAGUCGGGACCUAAGCUGAGGCCGAAAGGCGUAGGUGAUGGACAACAGGUUGAUAUUCCUGUACUACCGAUAACCGUUUGAGAGA